rnacentral:rRNA from 1 species
UACGGGGGGAGCAAGCGUUGUUCGGAUUUACUGGGCGUAAAGGGCGCGUAGGCGGUCAGCACAAGUCAGUUGUGGAAAUCUCCGGGCUUAACCCGGAAAGGUCAACUGAUACUGUGCGACUAGAGUGCGGAAGGGGCAACUGGAAUUCUCGGUGUAGCGGUGAAAUGCGUAGAUAUCGAGAGGAACACCUGCGGCGAAGGCGGGUUGCUGGGCCGACACUGACGCUGAUGCGCGAAAGCCAGGGGAGCGAACGGG